rnacentral:rRNA from 1 species
CCUACGGGGGGCAGCAGUGAGGAAUAUUGGUCAAUGGACGGAAGUCUGAACCAGCCAUGCCGCGUGCAGGAUGACGGCUCUAUGAGUUGUAAACUGCUUUUGUACGAGAAGAAGAGUUGUUACGUGUAGGGAUUUGAAUGUAUCGUACGAAUAAGGAUCGGCUAACUCCGUGCCAGCAGCCGCGGUAAUACGGAGGAUUCGAGCGUUAUCCGGAUUUAUUGGGUUUAAAGGGUGCGUAGGCUGUCGGAUAAGUUAGAGGUCACAUGGCGGGGCUUACCCCCGUGCCUGCCUCGGAUACUGUUCGCCUAGAGCGCGGCUGCAGCAGGCGGAAUGCGUAGUGUAGCGGU